CAAGAGCGUAUGUAAAAGUUGUUGCAGUUAAAAAGCUCGUAGUUGAACCUUGGGUUUGGUUGGCCGGUCCGCUUUUUUGCGAGUACUGGAUUCAACCGAGCCUUUCCUUCUGGCUAACCAGUCGUUUCGGCGGCUGGCGAACCAGGAUCUUUACUUUGAGAAAAUUAGAGUGUUCAAAGCAGGCAUUAGCUUGAAUAUAUUAGCAUGGAAUAAUAGAAUAGGACGUUAUGGUUCUAUUUUGUUGGUUUCUAGGACCAUCGUAAUGAUUAAUAGGGACGGUCGGGGGCAUCAGUAUUCAGUUGUCAGAGGUGAAAUUCUUGGAUUUACUGAAGACUAACUACUGCGAAAGCAUUUGCCAAGGACGUUUUCAUUAA
rnacentral:rRNA from 1 species